rnacentral:lncRNA from 1 species
AGCAGCGAAGGAGAUUAAUACAUUUGAAUUUUGGGAUUGGGUUUUCAAUUUUAAGGGGAUAAAUAAAUCUUGGCAUGAAUAUUACUGUGAGGAAAGGGAAAAAAUGGGUCAAAUUUUGCUAAGUAACAUAAGGAAAAUGGCCUUUUUGCAAAAUGUUUCUUAUUUUAUUUUUAUUAUAUUAAAUCAUUCAUUUUUUAUAUUUUUAAUAAAGUAUAGUUUUUCUAAAUGUAGGCCCAAUCGAAACAAAGAAAAAUAGUGUGUAUUCAUUCACCGACCUUCUGUUAUGAUCCCAAAUGAUACCUUUAGCUUUUGCCAUACUUGAGCAUCACGGCUCACUAACUUGAUCUGCCGUGGGAACCGGAUGUCUGAGCAUGCCUGAAAAAACAGGUACGAUCCUGCUAUCCAUUGCUACUCAAGUGUCCGGAAUUUCAAGGCCUUAAACACGGAACUGCUCCUAUUGUGAACCCACUUACCCAUCUGUGCUGUGAGUUUGCUCCAAGAAAGAGGUGGCAACUCUACCCUGUUAGCUGCUCUUUUGCUCGCUUUCGACCAUGAUUUAUUACAUCAAGUUGAAGAGUAUAAAAAAGUCCUAUCAGGUCUGCCCCUUAUUUCCUCAAUCAGGCCGCCCCUACAAGCUAAAUUGUUGCCCACUAUAACGCUGUUCCUUCAGAACUAAUCAGUCUUUCAGAUUCGUCGGAAGAGCUCGUCCCUUUCACUGCUAGGAAUGAAGUGGUACCACACUUAUUUCACAAAAAUAGCCAUAUUAAGUUUUUUAUUUGUCAAAUAUCUGUUUAAUUGUCCUUAAUUCAAUUUCACAAUUUCAAGUGCUAUAAAUUGCGGAUGCUCAAGUCAGUUUUAACAAGUAAUCAUGUGUUGUAUGAUGAAGUUUGCAUUUUUUUGGUGCUUAUUUGUUGUGUUUCUUAGACUAAGCCUUUUCUUUUUCCUUUAUCGUUGAUUAUGUCCAUAUGAUGCAAUAAAAGAGUUGGUUUAAUUUGGUGUUUGGCUGUCCCUGUGGGUUAAUCUAUUUGUGUUUAGUUUUGAUUUGUUGGACUUGUAAUCAUGAUCGGAGGAUAAAUAUAGAGGGGUCUGAGUUUUAGACAGCUACCUGCUCGUUGAUUAACCUUUUGGUAAGCUUUUUCCACCUGUACAGACCAUAACCGAUGGUACUCGAGAUUUUGAAUCUUGGCACCAGCCCUCGCCCGUUAUAAUGCUUAAGUUGUGCUGUUGAUCCAUAUUCUACAGGAGCUUUAAAACGCUUAGAUAUGUUUCAUUUACAAUUGGAAUCCCACUGCCCACUUUCUCC